AUGAGACAUAAAGAGAGUUAAAUAUAAUGAAGAAGAGAGGUCUAAUAUGGCGAAAAGAGUCAUGUUUAAUAGCC
rnacentral:misc_RNA from 1 species